UACGGGGGGUGCAAGCGUUAUCCGGAUUCACUGGGUUUAAAGGGUGCGUAGGUGGGCAGGUAAGUCAGUGGUGAAAUCUCCGGGCUUAACCCGGAAACUGCCAUUGAUACUAUCUGUCUUGAAUACCGUGGAGGUGAGCGGAAUAUGUCAUGUAGCGGUGAAAUGCUUAGAUAUGACAUAGAACACCAAUUGCGAAGGCAGCUCACUACGCGAAUAUUGACACUGAGGCACGAAAGCGUGGGGAUCAAACAGG
rnacentral:rRNA from 1 species